CUUUGCCAAAUGGAAUGUGGGGAGAGAUUCCCAAAGGAAAGAUUAUAACUAAGAAAAUGUCCUAUGUCUCCUAAAGGAAAGUAUGAACUGGUGUUUCAGUCAUAUCGAUCAAUGGCCACAGAAGAGAUAGCAGGGUGUUGGGAACCAGGAAGAAGGUCAAAGAAUCAGAAGAAAAUACCCAAGGUUCAAGCCGUGUUUCCAGGGGUCAGGAGGAAUUCCAUCUUCUAAGAUGGGAACCUGAAGAGAGAACCAUGGAGAAUCUCUCGAAGCCAUUCCAGUUUAUACGGAGGGGAAGCGAGCUUUAGGUAAUCAUCGUCCCUGGAUAAAAUCUGGAAUUACUGUCUCUUCAGGCUAUUUGCCAGA
rnacentral:lncRNA from 1 species